rnacentral:lncRNA from 1 species
CUUCUGACGACAAGAUGGUUCUAUUUCUGUGCCUCCAGUGGGUCUUGUCACUGCAUUGUGACCUAACAGAUGUGUGGUGGCACCUCAGUGUGACCUAAUGGACGUGUGGUGACAUCUCAAUGUGGCUUUAAUCUGCGUGUCCUUCAUGACCCAUGAUGGCGAGCAUCCUUCCAUGGGCUUGCUGGCCACCUGUUUACCUUCACUUUUGAAAUGUCUCUGGUCUUGGUAAAUGUUCCCUGAACCCUUGAAAAUGCUGUGUCUUCUGCAGUUUUUGGAUGAAACGCUCUGCGAUGUUAGUGAGGUCCAGUGGGCCAACAGUGUUCUAAAUCUUCUCCAUCCUUUCUGGCUUUCGUCUCCUGGUCCUGCCGGGUGCUGAGAGAGCAUCUUGUCCUGAUGUCUCAUCGUGAAUAAGUCUAUCAGAUCUCCUCUUGGGGGUGAGGCUGGGUGGAGACGGCAGAUCUGCACGGUGGAGAAAAGAGAAGAAGGCCAGCACAGUGGCAUUGAGGAAUCCAGGGAGCUCCUGGCCAACUUGGCCUGAGUCUUGCAUUUCAGAUGAAAAAAGGAAAACUGUGCAAGAGAGCUUUCAAGGAUUAAUGGAGUUCUGUCAAAAAGACAACAGGCCAAUUUGAAAAAGGUCCCACUGGUCAAAUCUGUGACACUUUGAGCAUCAAAAAGAAUGUUGCUCAGGGUUGACUGACUACAUCUGACCUGUGUAAAUCCACUAUUCCAUAAUCGCUCUCACACGAGAGAAAGUUGGACAUUAAACCAGCUCUUCCUGUUGAAUAUUGUUGGCCAAAGGAAACAUUUAAGCAUUAUCCUGCUUCCUGCUUCCUGCUAGGCACCGAAUGUCGGCAGAACCAGGGCACUCUGGUUGUGAGGAAAGACCCACUUUAAAAAGGAAUGUUGGCUGAUAAUGAGGGAGGAGUGACAGCAUUAGAAAACCAUCCUUGUCAAUCCCUGUUGAGAAGAUUGAUGAGGCCAAGGAUAGAAUCUGUGUUGAGACGCUCAGAUGAGGGCCUGUGGGGACCCGGAUACUCGUCUGGUUUCAGAGAGAGAGGGAGGCCGGUGGAUCUGCACAGACAUCACACCCGGCCUCACGGCGGAGCCCACGUGCGGGUCCUCUGUGAGAGGUGGCCCAGCCCAGUGUCCAUCUUGAACAUGUCCAGCCUUCAGAGUGAAUUUCCAUUCUUAAGGAACGAGAGAGGAUAGAGGAGCAAACACAGCACAAGGCAGCACCCCCAGGUCAGAAGCGGGGCAUCCGCGGGACAGCAGUCUCCUCGAGUCAGUCCGGGACGUCACCAGGUUCCCUGCAUGGUCUUGUUCGGACAAACCUGUUGUCACAGGAACUUUUGGGCAACUGGGGACCUUUGAAGAUGGACUCAAUCUUGGCUGAUGUGAAGGAAUCUUUACGUAUUGUCAAGUAUGGUAAUUUAAUUUUGGCUAGGCAGGGAAAGGCUCUCAUUUUGAAAAGACGCACUGAAAAAAAGGAGACAGGACACAGCCGGCGAUGUCUAGGGACGCUGUCCACAUUUAAGCUGCUCUGUUCUUGAUUGAGUUUUCCUUUCUGCACCUUGGAGUGGAACUCAGACCCCAACACCAGACAGGCCUCCGCAGGGAGCAGCGGGUGCCGCCAGCUCUGCUCUCCCGCGAACUGUCAUGGGUACCGCCCGCGAUGACCCGCGUUGCCCGCGGCUUGCGCUGCAGAGAGCCAUAGGCCGGCACCUCGGGACGUGAGCCGGCUGCCCUGCUUUUCCCCGCCACAGCUCCCCAGGCCCUCUUCUGUAACUCCCAAGUCCAAAUUGUCCUGAAAACUGGAAGCCUUUUUUGUAGCUCCCUUGGCAGCAAGACCUUCUCAUGUCCCAGCGGGAGGAACCUCCCAUGCGUUUUCCCAGCAGAAACACUGGGAUGCCUGAUGACAGGUGUUAGGGAACUUCCGGGAUGUGCUCUGUGGUACCUUCCAGAAGUGGAGAUAUUCUGAGUCCCAAGUACAUCUGAAUAAGGGGUUGUGGUCCUCUGUUCUUCUUACUGAUGAGGAAACCAAGGCACAGCGGGCUGAGGAGAGGCCCCGGCCACGCAGCCCUGAGUGGUCAUCUGGGCAGUUUGCCUCCAGGGUGUGUUGUCCUAACUUCCCAACACUGUCUCAGUUAUGAAAAACAAGGAGCCACAACUUCAGAGUUACUUUUAAUAUUCAGAGGUAUAUCGUUCUAGUCAACCAUAUUCAAUUUGCCAAAAUUUGGUGCGAGGUAUGGAAAACCAUUCAACCAUUUAGCAGGACAGAAACGAACCAGCAAGCUGGCAUCAUCCUGUUGUUUGAAAAUAAACGUCAGAUCUGAGCAGCAAGACUGUUGUAGAGAAGCGUCAGCAAGCUCAGUAGAUGGAUCACAGGUACCCGUAAUCUCAGUCCGGCAAGGCGCCUGUUGAUGCAAAUAAUCCAUAACCAGUCUAUAAAUCAAAAUUGGGGGGAGUGGAUUAUAAGCCAGACCUGAGCACCAUACAGCUGGCAGACUUCUUCCACAAAGGAACGGAGCGCUCCACAGAGGUGGGGGCGUAUAGGGUGGUUAUAUACCCUCAAAGAGGAUGUGUCACAUAUGAUUGGAAUGUCCCUUUCACAACAGUCAUGAGGUUGCCCUGUCAGCACAGCGAU